CCUACGGUGGGCAGCAGUGGGGAAUAUUGGACAAUGGGGGGAACCCUGAUCCAGCGACGCCGCGUGAGUGAAGAAGUAUUUCGGUAUGUAAAGCUCUAUCAGCAGGGAAGAAAGAAAUGACGGUACCUGACUAAGAAGCCCCGGCUAACUACGUGCCAGCAGCCGCGGUAAUACGUAGGGGGCAAGCGUUAUCCGGAUUUACUGGGUGUAAAGGGGGCGUAGCCGGUGACGCAAGUCUGGAGUGAAAGGCGGGGGCCCAACCCCCGGACUGCUUUGGAAACUGUAUAACUGGAGUGCAGGAGAGGUAAGUGGAAUUCCUAGUGUAGCGGUGAAAUGCGUAGAUAUUAGGAAGAACACCAGUGGCGAAGGCGGCUUACUGGACUGCAACUGACGUUGAGGCGCGAAAGCGUGGGGAGCAAACAGGAUUAGAUACCCGGGUAGUC
rnacentral:rRNA from 1 species